CCAUGGCGCCCGCGUCCGGGCCGGUCUUCAAUCUGGGUCACCUCUCGCACCCGUCUUCGGCCAGCGUGGACUACAGCUGCGCCGCGCAAAUCCCUGGCAACCAUCACCACGGACCGUGCGACCCUCAUCCCACCUACACAGAUCUCUCGGCUCACCACACGUCUCAGGGACGCCUGCCCGAGGCCCCCAAACUGACACAUCUGUAGCGGUUGCCGCCGGCCUGGCGCAAUUACCUCUCUGGUUUUGGUGGCAGGGGUGGUGGCGGGGCGGGGCCCGAAAGGCAGUUUAGGGGAACCCCCCUCCCUGAUCUGGCCUGGCAGAUGCCACACGAGUUUCGGGCUUCCAGCGGCCGAGGCUGACGCGACUGGGCCUCCCCUCCAGGCGUGUCCUCCUUUGGGUGACUCGCUAUAAAUCAGCCGCA
rnacentral:lncRNA from 1 species